GGCGAGUGAAGCGGCAACAGCUCAAAUUUGAAAUCUGGCCUCCUUCGGGGUCCGAGUUGUAAUUUGUAGAGAGUGCUUCGGGUGAGACAGCGGUCUAAGUCCAUUGGAACAUGGCGUCCCAGAGGGUGAGAAUCCCGUACGUGACCGCGGCUCGAGCCCAUGUGAAGCCUCUUCGACGAGUCGAGUUGUUUGGGAAUGCAGCUCAAAAUGGGUGGUAAAUUUCAUCUAAAGCUAAAUACUGGCUGGAGACCGAUAGCGCACAAGUAGAGUGAUCGAAAGAUGAAAAGCACUUUGGAAAGAGAGUCAAACAGUACGUGAAAUUGUUGAAAGGGAAGCGCUUGCAACCAGACCUGCCCGCAGGCGAUCAGCCGCUGUUCUCAGCGGUGCACUCGCGCUGCGAUCAGGCCAGCAUCGGUUUCGGUGGCCGGAUAAAGGCCUUGGGAAUGUAGCUUCCUCUCGGGGGAGUCUUAUAGCCCUCGGUGCAAUGCGGCCAGCCGGGACCGAGGACCGCGCUUCGGCUAGGAUGCUGGCGUAAUGGUUGUAAGCGACCCGUCUUGAAACACGGACCAAGGAGUGUAACAUCUAUGCGAGUGUUUGGGUGUCAAACCCAUACGCGGAAUGAAAGUGAACGGAGGUGAGAACCCUUAAGGGCGCAUCAUCGACCGAUCCUGAUGUCUUCGGAUGGAUUUGAGUAUGAGCAUAGCUGUUGCGACCCGAAAGAUGAUGAUCUAUACCUGAAUAGGGUGAAGCCAGAGGAAACUCUGGUGGAGGCUCGCAGCGGUUACUGACGUGCAAAUCGAUCGUCAAAUUUGGGUAUAGAU
rnacentral:rRNA from 1 species